AGCGAACGCUGGCGGCAGGCUUAACACAUGCAAGUCGAACGCCCCGCAAGGGGAGUGGCAGACGGGUGAGUAACACGUGGGAACGUACCCUUUGGUUCGGAAUAACUUGGGGAAACUCAAGCUAAUACCGGAUAAGCCCUUAUGGGGAAAGGUUUACUGCCGAAGGAUCGGCCCGCGUCUGAUUAGCUAGUUGGUGAGGUAAUGGGUCACCAAGGCGACGAUCAGUAGCUGGUCUGAGAGGAUGAUCAGCCACACUGGGACUGAGACACGGCCCAGACUCCGACGGGGGGCAGCAGUGGGGAAAAUUGGACAAGGGGGGCAACCCUGGUCCAGCCAUGCCGCGGGAGUGAGGAAGGCCUUAGGGUUGUAAAGCUCUUUUACCCGGGACGAUAAUGACUGUACCGGGAGAAUAAGCCCCGGCUAACUUCGUGCCAGCCGCCGCCGUAA
rnacentral:rRNA from 1 species